ACCCUUUACAAUGAAGAUCUGUUAAGUUAUUUGGAUUCAUACGAAUUAUCAUUGGACGACAGGGUCCUGAAAAAGGGCUGUUUCUUUUUUGCUGAGUUUAUAAUGACAGAAGAGAAACUGCAUGUAUCUAACUAUAGACAAGUUGACUAACAAAUAGCCUUCCAAAGUGUUGGACAUUCUUUACAUUAAGAAAUAGGACAUUUUAGACACAGAUAUACUUAUAUAUAUUUCAUAUAGAUGAGUGAAUGGAACUUCACUCGGGCCUCCUUCCUUCACCCAGUAAAUAAAAAAAAAUGGCUGACUGUUACAGCACGCAGGGGAGUAAAAACCACGGCUGUGUCUUUUUUGUUUUGUUUUACCUCAAUGUCGAAAUGCCCAGUGACGUUUGCCUCUAGUGUGUGUGUGUGUGUGUGUGUGUGUGUGUGUGUUCUCAGAACAUUGUGAAGUCUAUACUCAGGAGAUCUGUCUUUGCUGGAGGCCUUGUGAAAACAAUAACUUUUUGGCGCAGGGCAGACUGCUGAAAUGUUAAAUGGUGAGCACAGUGCAGGACUGGUUACGAAGCCAAUAACAUCGUCACUCUUUUAAAAAGGGGUUGGAUCUGUAGAUGUAGAACCAGCUAUCGAGGAAUACACUCCACAAAGCUGAAGGGUUGGUUCAGGUGACUGUACAAUACUGAUAGCUGAAGGGUUGGUUCAGGUGACUGUACAAUACUGAUAGCUGAAGGGUUGGUUCAGGUGACUGUACAAUACUGAUAGCUGAAGGGUUGGUUCAGGUGACUGUACAAUGCUUAUGGCUCAAGGGUUGGUUCAGGGUUGCUUAUGGCUCAAGGGUUGGUUCAGGGUUGUUUAUAGUUGAAGGGUUGGUUCAGGGUUGCUUAUGGCUCAAGGGUUGGUUCAGGUGACUGUACAAUGCUGAUAGCUGAAGGGUUGGUUCAGGGUUGCUUAUAGCUGAAGGGUUGGUUCAGGUGACUGUACAAUACUGAUAGCUGAAGGGUUGGUUCAGGUGACUGUACAAUGCUUAUGGCUCAAGGGUUGGUUCAGGUGACUGUACAAUACUGAUAGCUGAAGGGUUGGUUCAGGUGACUGUACAAUGCUUAUGGCUCAAGGGUUGGUUCAGGUGACUGUACAAUACUGAUAGCUCAAGGGUUGGUUCAGGGUUGCUUAUAGCUGAAGGGUUGGUUCAGGUGACUGUACAAUACUGAUAGCUGAAGGGUUGGUUCAGGUGACUGUACAAUACUGAUAGCUGAAGGGUUGGUUCAGGUGACUGUACAAUACUGAUAGCUGAAGGGUUGGUUCAGGUGACUGUACAAUACUGAUAGCUGAAGGGUUGGUUCAGGUGACUGUACAAUACUGAUAGCUGAAGGGUUGGUUCAGGUGACUGUACAAUACUGAUAGCUCAAGGGUUGGUUCAGGUGACUUUACAAUACUGAUAGCUGAAGGGUUGGUUCAGGUGACUGUACAAUGCUUAUGGCUGAAGGGUUGGUUCGGGUGACUGUACAAUACUGAUAGCUGAAGGGUUGGUUCAGGGUUGCUUAUAGCUGAAGGGUUGGUUCAGGGUUGCUUAUAGCUGAAGGGUUGGUUCAGGUGACUGUACAAUGCUGAUAGCUGAAGGGUUGGUUCAGGGUUGCUUAUGGCUGAAGGGUUGGUUCAGGUGACUGUACAAUGCUGAUAGCUGAAGGGUUGGUUCAGGGUUGCUUAUAGCUGAAGGGUUGGUUCAGGUGACUGUACAAUGCUGAUAGCUCAAGGGUUGGUUCAGGGUUGCUUAUAGCUGAAGUUCUACCAUAGAUCCCAACAGGCAGAGCUGGUUGAAAUAACGUCAAUGUGACAACAUUACAACCAGAAUAGAAGAUAUUUUCUAGAAGUAUUUGCCCCGUGCGAUAGGGCUUUAAAUAGAUGCUAGUUACACAUCAGUAGUUGGUCAGUAACCCACCACUAACAGCUCCUACAGCUAGAGGUUUUGCCCCGUGCGAUAGGGCUUUAAAUAGAUGCUAGUUACACAUCAGUAGUUGGUCAGUAACCCACCACUAACAGCUCCUACAGCUAGAGGUUUUGCCCCGUGCGAUAGGGCUUUAAAUAGAUGCUAGUUACACAUCAGUAGUUGGUCAGUAACCCACCACUAACAGCUCCUACAGCUAGAGGUUUUGCCCCGUGCGAUAGGGCUUUAAAUAGAUGCUAGUUACACAUCAGUAGUU